rnacentral:lncRNA from 1 species
AUGGGAAAGAGGAAAACAGGAUAGAAGACUGCAGGAUCUAUCACCAUGUUUCCAACUACUCCGCAUAGACAUGCAAAACAUGAAGAAUCUCCCUCCUGUUGGCACAAUUAUGAAUGCCAUGAAGGUGGCUUCUUUUUUUGUGGAGUCUAGGACAAUCUACGUCCAAGGAAAUUUAGAGUCUUUUGAGGAGCUACUUGUCAACAGUCUAGUUGAGGACAGAAUUUUUCUAGCUUAAAAGACUGCUAGAGCCAGGCAUGGUGGCACACAUCUGUAAUUCUAGCAUUCAGAAGGAUAAGAUCAGAAGAUCAUUAAUUCACUUCCAGCUUGGGAUAUACAGCAAGCCCAAGGAUAACUUGACUACAGAACAAGACUGCUACAGUAGAUGUUGCUUUGAAAAUGAGUCACAAAUAACAGACACAUAGCAAAACUCAGUAUAUGUGAGGAUGAACAGAAUGCAGCAACUGUGUAGAAUAAGUCUUUGAUGCUGUGACAACAAGAACGCAACAGAAACAGAUGUUCCAGUUCUACCUUCAAUUGCUAGUAAUUAUUGGAAUAAUUUUGCAUAAUUGUAGAGAGA